UACAGAGGUCCCAAGCGUUGUUCGGAUUCAUUGGGCGUAAAGGGUGCGUAGGCGGCGCGGUAAGUCGGGUGUGAAAUCUCGGAGCUUAACUCUGAAACUGCAUUCGAUACUGCCGUGCUUGAGGACUGGAGAGGAGACUGGAAUUUACGGUGUAGCGGUGAAAUGCGUAGAUAUCGUAAGGAAGACCAGUGGCGAAGGCGGGUCUCUGGACAGUUCCUGACGCUGAGGCACGAAGGUCAGGGGAGCAAACGGG
rnacentral:rRNA from 1 species